UGGGGAAUUUUGGACAAUGGGCGAAAGCCUGAUCCAGCAAUGCCGCGUGUGUGAAGAAGGCCUUCGGGUUGUAAAGCACUUUUGUCCGGAAAGAAAUCCUUGGCUCUAAUACAGUCGGGGGAUGACGGUACCGGAAGAAUAAGCACCGGCUAACUACGUGCCAGCAGCCGCGGUAAUACGUAGGGUGCAAGCGUUAAUCGGAGUUACUGGGCGUAAAGCGUGCGCAGGCGGUUUGCUAAGACCGAUGUGAAAUCCCCGGGCUCAACCUGGGAACUGCAUUGGUGACUGGCAGGCUAGAGUAUGGCAGAGGGGGGUAGAAUUCCACGUGUAGCAGUGAAAUGCGUAGAGAUGUGGAGGAAUACCGAUGGCGAAGGCAGCCCCCUGGGCCAAUACUGACGCUCAUGCACGAAAGCGUGGGGAGCAAACAGGAUUAGAUACCCUGGUAGUCCACGCCCUAAACGAUGUCAACUAGUUGUUGGGGAUUCAUUUCCUUAGUAACGUAGCUAACGCGUGAAGUUGACCGCCUGGGGAGUACGGUCGCAAGAUUAAAACUCAAAUGAAUUGACGGGGUCAUAGCUGUUUCCU
rnacentral:rRNA from 1 species